rnacentral:rRNA from 1 species
GACGAACGCUGGCGGCGUGCUUAACACAUGCAAGUCGAACGAUGAACUGGGUGCUUGCACCUGGGGAUUAGUGGCGAACGGGUGAGUAACACGUGAGUAGCCUGCCCUGGACUCUGGGAUAACCCCGAGAAAUCGGAGCUAAUACCGGAUAGGACCCUGUACCGCAUGGUGUGGGGUGGAAAGUUUUUUCUGUCUGGGAUGGACUCGCGGGGUAUCAGCUUGUUGGUGAGGUAAUGGCUCACCAAGGCGUCGACGGGUAGCCGGCCUGAGAGGGGGACCGGGCACACUGGGACGGAGACACGGCCCAGAAUCCUACGGGAGGCAGCAGUGGUGAAUAUUGCACAAUGGGCGCAAGCCUGAUGCAGCAACGCAGCGUGCGGGAUGACGGCCUUCUGGUUGUAAACCGCUUUUAGUAAGGAAGAAGGGGCUUCGGCCUUGACGGUACUUGCAGAAAAAGGACCGGCUAACUACGUGCCAGCCGCCGCGGUAAGAC